rnacentral:tmRNA from 1 species
GGGGGUGAAUUAGGCUCGACUUAGAUAAGCCGGGUAAAAGCAGCAUGCCGCGGACGCAGGGUUGGCCGCGUUAACAAUCCUUGCAAAAAAUAAACGCAAACAGACUAACGUCUGCUUCGGUAAACUCGCUUAGACCAGCAAUGGUCCCAGCGGGCGUACCGACGUUCGCAGUCCUUCCUCACUAAGCAGGAAGGCCUCAAUCCAGGGUUUGCCUGUGGCCUUGGUUUGAGCCGGUAACAGGCUGGUUUUCCGUUUUGCCUUUGGGCGGAAGACGAGAUGAUAAAAGGCUGCGGCUUCGGCAAUCCUGUUUACCGGAGUACCGAGGAUUAAGCAGAAAAGAUAAACUAAGCAUGUAGCGGCUCUUAUCCGAUUGUUUAAGGACGGCGGUGCGAUUCCGCCCACCUCCACCA